CGCCGCCAUGUUGGGGCAGCCCUCGGCGGGGCAGCUCUGUGUAAGUGAACGGGAAAAUGGGAAAGUUUACGGCACAUUUUUUGGUAUUUUUAGAGUGAAUAGUGUUUGUCUCAGGAGUUCAGCUCAUAGAUUGAAGCUUGGAGAAUGUCAAACGGAGGUUGAAUUGUGCUCAACUAGUUUUGAUUUAGAUAUAUGAAGAUAGAAAGGAGGGAGUGUUACCCGGAUGGCGCCAUUGUCUGACAGGUUCAGUUAUAUGUGCAAGUCACAAGUACUCAAAAAGGCUGCAAGAUGCCUAGCUAGCAACUGCUCCAACCAGUUUGAAGGAAGAAGGGGUGUGUUUCUCCACAGGUUUCCUCCAGACCCAGGUGUGUACAGCGAAAGGACUGGCGCAUUCAGGUGAAGAUGGACUGGCGGCAACAUGUGUCGGAAGGGGGCAAGCUUGGUCAUGCGGCACACUUCAUGAUGAGGGCUCCUUCGAUUGCACAGACCAGUUUGGCUGUGCUAUGGUGCAGUCCCAUCAGGUCUUUCUUCCCUGCUCACCUGCAGGACCAUUUCAAUAGCUGCCAGAGCAGCGGGGGCUGAAGCAAAGGCUAGAGAAAGCUGCGACUAGGACGUUGGCCUGUUCCAAGCAGUCUCGAAACGCACACAAGAACGGGAAAAUGUCGAUCCGGACAGCACGCCCCAGGGAGCGUCACUCGUCAGAGGCGGUCUCGACGGGCAGGCUGGGCGGUGCCCAGGGAGCAGCGUCACCCGUCUGUGGCUGCCCCGAUGGUCAGGCCGGGCGGCACUCCGGCAGCAGCUGCAUCUGUCUGUAGCGGCCCCGACAGCAGGCCGGGCGGCACCUUGGGAGCAGUGGCACACGUUUAUGUGUGGGGUGGCCCCGACGGCAGACCGGGCAACAGAGGCAGUCUACAGGGAAUAGCGGCACCCGUCUAUGGUGGCCCCGACGGCAGGUCGGACACCGAGGCGGCUCCCAGGGAGCAGCGGCACCCGUCUGUGGCGGCAUCGACGGCAGGACGGGCGGUGCUGAUGUAGUAGCGUCUAAUUUGCUGAUAAACGUUAGCGAUAUAGGCAUUAUCCUAGUCACCAUGCUCAGGCGCGUCGAUGAUAUGCUUGUGCUAGGAUAAGUUCAACCUAGAAUUCUGACCUUACGUCACGUUGAUCUAAGAGGGCCGUAUAGCUCAUUUCGAUUUUGACGGUCUUCAGUCCAUUGGUGACUGUCCCGACUCGCCAGCUCAAUUUAAUCGAAUGAUUUACCUAAAACUCCGACUCUGGCUUUGUGACGUAAUCUAUGUCGCUAAAGUAAACGGUGCAAAAGUUAAAAAUUGGUUUACAAGAUGUGUAAUGUGUAUUAUCUCAUGGUUUCGUGCGUUUGCAUAAUCUUCAAUCAUUUUCGGCACCAAAAUAGCAGUUACCACCUUUCCCCAUUGACUUGUGAUGGCGAUGUCACGUGACCGACCUGACCUCAGGUGACCAUCAGGAAAAAUAUUAGAUAUACAAGCUAUAAGGCCUCUGGAGGGUACAAGGUUCUGUUAGUUUGAUCUCCCUGUGAAAGCUCCUCUGGCACUGAAGGCAUUGCGAAGUUGCGGCAUGUCAUGACCGCGCGGUGGCUCUAUUAUGACGUCAUAGGUCAGUGACCGGGCAUGACCUGAAAGGGUGAUUAGUGUCAUAAGAUCCGGAUUUAAUGAAAGGUCAGUUGUACCAACUUUCAGCUCUCUGAGGCCAGCGUGUACCGAACAAGCACGAGUAAACCGUAUGGGAACAAGGGGUGACUAAUCCCUCGCUGCGGUACGGUACGAUGAUGAAAAAUUGAUUUCAAAUACAUUUGGUGAGGCUAUAGGCUCUAACUAAUCAUUUCAUAACCAUACUGGCCAUCUGCAGCCUCCCAAUAACUCAAAAAUUGGUUUGGAAAACGGGCUCGAAACCGCUCCACCCCCAUUCACUUUACGU
rnacentral:lncRNA from 1 species